UGGGGAAUAUUGCACAAUGGGGGAAACCCUGAUGCAGCGACGCCGCGUGAGCGAAGAAGUAUUUCGGUAUGUAAAGCUCAAUCAGCAGGGAAGAUAAUGACGGUACCUGACUAAGAAGCCCCGGCUAACUACGUGCC
rnacentral:rRNA from 1 species